GGCCGGUUAGCUCAGUGGUAGAGUAGCAGUCUCCAAUCAGAGAUAGUAAACUGUUGGCCAAGGGUUCGACCCCCUUACUGGUCA
rfam:Dictyostelium fasciculatum unplaced genomic scaffold Scf_Dfasci-G-b-205a01.r1-3, whole genome shotgun sequence.